UCCAGACUUUGAUUCUGGCUCAGGAUGAACGCUGGCGGCAUGCCUAAUACAUGCAAGUCGAACGAGAGGAAGGAAAGCUUGCUUUUCUGAAUCUAGUGGCGAACGGGUGAGUAACACGUAGGUAACCUGCCCAUGUGCCCGGGAUAACUUCUGGAAACGGAUGCUAAAACCGGAUAGGUAGCAGACAAGCAUUUGACUGCUAUUAAAGUGGCUAUGGCCAUGAACAUGGAUGGACCUGCGGUGCAUUAGCUAGUUGGUGAGGUAACGGCCCACCAAGCGACGAUGCAUAGCCGGCCUGAGAGGGCGGACGGCCACAUUGGGACUGAGACACGGCCCAAACUCCUACGGGAGGCAGCAGUAGGGAAUUUUCGUCAAUGGGGGGAACCCUGAACGAGCAAUGCCGCGUGAGUGAGGAAGGUCUUCGGAUCGUAAAGCUCUGUUGUAAGAGAAAAACGGCACUCAUAGGGAAUGAUGAGUGAGUGAUGGUAUCUUACCAGAAAGUCACGGCUAACUACGUGCCAGCAGCCGCGGUAAUACGUAGGUGGCGAGCGUUAUCCGGAAUGAUUGGGCGUAAAGGGUGCGUAGGUGGCAGAUCAAGUUUGGAGUAAAAGGUAUGGGCUCAACCCGUACUGGCUCUGGAAACUGAUCAGCUAGAGAACAGAAGAGGACGGCGGAACUCCAUGUGUAGCGGUAAAAUGCGUAGAUAUAUGGAAGAACACCGGUGGCGAAGGCGGCCGUCUGGUCUGGAUUCUGACACUGAAGCACGAAAGCGUGGGGAGCAAAUAGGAUUAGAUACCCUAGUAGUCCACGCCGUAAACGAUGAGAACUAGGUGUUGGGGGAAUAACUCAGUGCCGCAGUUAACGCAAUAAGUUCUCCGCCUGGGGAGUAUGCACGCAAGUGUGCAACUCAAAGGAAUUGACGGA
rnacentral:rRNA from 1 species